GACGAACGCUGGCGGCGCGCUUAACACAUGCAAGUCGAGCGAGAACCUAGGCUUCGGCCUAGGGGACAGCGGCGAACGGGUGAGUAACACGUGGGUAAUCUGCCCUCGACAUCGGGAUAGCCCGGGGAAACCCGGAUUAAUACCGAAUGGCCCAUCCGCUUUUCGGAGCGGCUGGAAAGGUAGCUUCGGCCUCCGGUCGAGGAGGAGCCCGCGGCGGAUUAGCUUGUUGGUGAGGUAAUGGCCCACCAAGGCGACGAUCCGUAGCUGGUCUGAGAGGACGAUCAGCCACACUGGGACUGAGACACGGCCCAGACUCCUACGGGAGGCAGCAGUGGGGAAUCUUGCGCAAUGGGCGAAAGCCUGACGCAGCGACGCCGCGUGCGGGAAGAAGGCCU
rnacentral:rRNA from 1 species